ensembl:snRNA Gm24527 predicted gene, 24527
AUGCUUGUCUUGACAGCAUAUAUACAAUAUAGAGAAAUUAACAUGACCCCCUGUGGAAGGAUGACACGCAAAUCUGUGAAGCAUUCUAUAUAUUU